rnacentral:lncRNA from 1 species
GUGUGUUAAGGAAUGAUUGCGUUGUAGCAUGUUAGAUUAUAGAUUUUGUAAAGAGAGCAGAAGAUACAUAAAUUUUAAAUGCAUAAAAUAUUAAAUACAGCACUAUAUGUAGUAAUGAAAAUUUAUUCUAAAAAGAAACAUUUUCAAUCCAUAUUGGAUCCUCAUCAGCUUCUAAUGACAAAAUCUUUUGGUAGACAUCAGAAGUUCCUGGCAGAUGUAAUGGCAGAAUUAGUCCUCAGAUCUGUAGAAAAAAGAAUAUUUACAACAUUCAAACAGAAUUUAAAAAUUUAUAUUAGAUAUAUAGAUGAUUUACUGGUUAUAUUAAAACAACA